CAUGGCCGCCUCACCAUCUCAUUCGAUUGGGAAGAAUGGAGACAGUGUGGGACAAUUGUGUGUGUGUCUGCCAGCUGUGUGUAUGCGUUUGGGACGUGUUUGUAUGUGUGUGUCAGAUUAGUGUUUGUUUGUUAGAGCUGUGUGUGUGUUUUCUGCGACUAUCUUUACUGCUGUUCCACUGGAUCCCUCAUAUUGGACUGGCGGUGUGGAUCUGGCAACGCACACAUAGGAAGACUCAGUUUGAUGCUAAUCAUGUUUACGGAUCAAAAGAUCCAAGUUACUGUGAUGAAUCAAAGACUGAAGUACUUGCUGAUGGAAAGGCUACUUCUACAACGUGCUUCGAUAGUGGCCUGGAUGAUCUCAGCUGUUCCUCUGCCACGCACAAUAGCUG